CUUAUUUAAGGGGCACUCCAUAUGUGAUAUGGCAUCAAUUCUAAAGGGGUUAGGCAUGGGACCUUGUGAGAAAAAGAAGAGAAAAGAAAUUAGAAAGGGAAUCAAGAGAGAAAUGAAAAGCAAUUAUAGCUUGUCCUAAGGUUCAGAUUGUUCAAGUAUUGGACAUCUGAAUCUGAAUUAUGUAGUAAGACCUUUUAAGAAGAGGUUUCUGGUGUGGGUCUAG
rnacentral:lncRNA from 1 species